GUGUGUGUAGCUCAGCUGGAUAGAGCACUUGGCUACGGACCAAGGUGUCGGGAGUUCGAAUCUUCUCACGCACGCUA
rnacentral:tRNA from 9 species